CCAACAAGAUCGGAUGAAGGGAAAAAGUCCCUCAGCGGCACCUCCAUGCUCCUAUGCAACCCUGCAAAAAGUGAGGGGAGGGCCCUCACUUUGAGAAGAGGAGGAAAAUUAAAAAGAAAGGGUGACGAGCUACGACGAAAACAGAUGAAGGACGAACCGCACCAAAGAUCUAAAGAACCUCAUCCCAACAAAGACGGAGAGUCCCUACCAAACACCCCCAGCCUCUAAGAAGACUCCC
rnacentral:lncRNA from 1 species